GACGAACGCUGGCGGCGUGCCUAAUACAUGCAAGUCGAGCGAGCGGAACUAACAGAUUUACUUCGGUAAUGACGUUAGGAAAGCGAGCGGCGGAUGGGUGAGUAACACGUGGGGAACCUGCCCCAUAGUCUGGGAUACCACUUGGAAACAGGUGCUAAUACCGGAUAAGAAAGCAGAUCGCAUGAUCAGCUUUUAAAAGGCGGCGUAAGCUGUCGCUAUGGGAUGGCCCCGCGGUGCAUUAGCUAGUUGGUAAGGUAAAGGCUUACCAAGGCGAUGAUGCAUAGCCGAGUUGAGAGACUGAUCGGCCACAUUGGGACUGAGACACGGCCCAAACUCCUACGGGAGGCAGCAGUAGGGAAUCUUCCACAAUGGACGCAAGUCUGAUGGAGCAACGCCGCGUGAGUGAAGAAGGUUUUCGGAUCGUAAAGCUCUGUUGUUGGUGAAGAAGGAUAGAGGUAGUAACUGGCCUUUAUUUGACGGUAAUCAACCAGAAAGUCACGGCUAACUACGUGCCAGCAGCCGCGGUAAUACGUAGGUGGCAAGCGUUGUCCGGAUUUAUUGGGCGUAAAGCGAGCGCAGGCGGAAGAAUAAGUCUGAUGUGAAAGCCCUCGGCUUAACCGAGGAACUGCGUCGGAAACUGUUUUUCUUGAGUGCAGAAGAGGAGAGUGGAACUCCAUGUGUAGCGGUGGAAUGCGUAGAUAUAUGGAAGAACACCAGUGGCGAAGGCGGCUCUCUGGUCUGCAACUGACGCUGAGGCUCGAAAGCAUGGGUAGCGAACAGGAUUAGAUACCCUGGUAGUCCAUGCCGUAAACGAUGAGUGCUAAGUGUUGGGAGGUUUCCGCCUCUCAGUGCUGCAGCUAACGCAUUAAGCACUCCGCCUGGGGAGUACGACCGCAAGGUUGAAACUCAAAGGAAUUGACGGGGGCCCGCACAAGCGGUGGAGCAUGUGGUUUAAUUCGAAGCAACGCGAAGAACCUUACCAGGUCUUGACAUCUAGUGCCAUUUGUAGAGAUACAAAGUUCCCUUCGGGGACGCUAAGACAGGUGGUGCAUGGCUGUCGUCAGCUCGUGUCGUGAGAUGUUGGGUUAAGUCCCGCAGCGAGCGCAACCCUUGUUAUUAGUUGCCAGCAUUAAGUUGGGCACUCUAAUGAGACUGCCGGUGACAAACCGGAGGAAGGUGGGGAUGACGUCAAGUCAUCAUGCCCCUUAUGACCUGGGCUACACACGUGCUACAAUGGGCAGUACAACGAGAAGCGAGCCUGCGAAGGCAAGCGAAUCUCUGAAAGCUGUUUUCAGUUCGGACUGCAGUCUGCAACUCGACUGCACGAAGCUGGAAUCGCUAGUAAUCGCGGAUCAGCACGCCGCGGUGAAUACGUUCCCGGGCCU
rnacentral:rRNA from 1 species